GUCAGGAGUGUAAGUAGAUUUUUCCCUCUGAUGAAAAAACACAUAGUGAGGACAUUAGAUGUGUCUUGUACAUGCAUGUUUUGCUGCUCAUAUUGGUGCUUACUGUUUCACAGCAGUGCUUUUAGAUAACUGUUUUUUUUUUUUUUUUCACCAGCCUUUGGACAGCCUUUUGGAGAGCCUCUGGAUUGCCCUUGGACAUCCUUUGGUCGACCACCACUGCAUCACCUCGUAUCCAUCCAUCCAUCCAUCCAUCCAUCCAUCCAUCUGUUUUGUGUGCCUUGUUCUCUCUCUCUCUCUGUCUCUCUCUCCCUGUGUUUGUGUGUCUCUUGUGCUCUUGUGCUGUCUUCCAGGAUGCCUCGGAAGGGGAGACGCUCCCAGGCCCAGAAGCAGCGCUGGAGGAAGCUGGACGCGUCUGAGAUGCCCACCCCUCCUGUCGACGCACCCCACUGCUCCCGCUCUCCCCAGUACAAGAAGGUUGGUUCCACCCUGCCAGCCGGACGGUUCUGGGAAGAGCGGCAGGCGCGUGCAAACUUUAUUGCACGCCGUGGCACCGGUUACCGCCACAAGGUUAAAAAAUGGCCAACUUCACCCUUUACUGGGCGCAACCACAAGUUGGUCAUUCCUCCUGAGCGCCUUGGAAAGAAG